GCAAAGCACUACCUGAAUGUAGAUUUGGGGCCAUACGUUGGAAAAUAAGACAUGAGAGUAUGCUCCGAUCAACUUUUACUGUUUACUGGACAACUAUUUUGGGAAUUUGCAGACCUAUAAAGCCCAUCUAUAAAUCUCAAGCAUGUCCACUUUCAGAGAAGAGAAAUGCCAACAACCAUUUAGUCUCUGAGGACAACACUUUUAAAGUGUAACAAUGUGGCAUCCAGAGCUUAUCCAGAUGAGCAGAGAGCAAAUGAAUUUCCUUCUGCUCCCCUGUUGAAGAGGAGAGAAAAAUUCUUCAAGCUGGAGAACUACUUGAUCUUAA
rnacentral:antisense_RNA from 1 species